GAUGAACGCUGGCGGCGUGCUUAACACAUGCAAGUCGAACGGUGAAGGCGGAGCUUGCUCUGCUGGAUCAGUGGCGAACGGGUGAGUAACACGUGAGCAAUCUGCACCUGACUCUGGGAUAAGCGCUGGAAACGGCGUCUAAUACUGGAUACGAGCUGCGAAGGCAUCUUCAGCAGCUGGAAAGAAUUUCGGUCAGGGAUGAGCUCGCGGCCUAUCAGCUUGUUGGUGAGGUAAUGGCUCACCAAGGCGUCGACGGGUAGCCGGCCUGAGAGGGUGACCGGCCACACUGGGACUGAGACACGGCCCAGACUCCUACGGGAGGCAGCAGUGGGGAAUAUUGCACAAUGGGCGAAAGCCUGAUGCAGCAACGCCGCGUGAGGGACGACGGCCUUCGGGUUGUAAACCUCUUUUAGCAGGGAAGAAGCGAAAGUGACGGUACCUGCAGAAAAAGCGCCGGCUAACUACGUG
rnacentral:rRNA from 1 species